rnacentral:rRNA from 1 species
AACGAACGCUGGCGGCGUGCCUAACACAUGCAAGUCGUGCGAGAAAGUUCCUUCGGGAGCGAGUAAAGCGGCGCACGGGUGAGUAACACGUAGGUAACCUGCCCCCCAGUCUGGAACAACUAGAGGAAACUCUAGCUAAUGCCGGAUGAGACCACGUUCCCUUCGGGGGUUGCGGCCAAAGAUGGCCUCUACUUGUAAGCUAUCGCUGAGGGAUGGGCCUGCGGGCCAUUAGCUUGUUGGUGAGGUAACGGCUCACCAAGGCUGUGAUGGCUAGCUGGUCUGAGAGGAUGACCAGCCACACUGGGACUGAGACACGGCCCAGACUCCUACGGGAGGCAGCAGUGGGGAAUAUUGCGCAAUGGGCGAAAGCCUGACGCAGCGACGCCGCGUGGGUGAUGAAGGCC